ensembl:lncRNA
AGAGCGGUGAGGACAGAACAAUAUACAUGCCUUUUUGCAGUUUCCUUACAGACAUUUGUGUUCAAACGGUAAUCAAAAUAAUACACAAUCAGUGAAGCAUUAGUGCUGCAAAAAUCUAGAAAACUCGGUUGCAUUGUAUAGAAUACAGUACACUGAGCUUAAUUUCACCCUAACGGAUAUCUACAGAGACCCCAGUAACGGGUCUGCACGUUCUCCAGCAGUCCAUUGAGGGUCUCCAUCUGGGUCUAAAGCAACAGAAACAAACCCUCUACCGUCAGAAUGACAGCAACAAGCUUCGCCAUCGUCUCCGAAGAAAGUUGACGGAAGACAAAAAGCGCCUUCUCCAGGAGAUUGAUAAAUACAACAGUCUUGUUGCAGACCUCUCCAAAAGGAUUGAUGUGGCCUUGGUUGACCACUCUUUGGCUGGACAGAGCACUGGCGCAAUAUGGCCAUGGGAGGACUAUGGCAGUGUAACAAUCGGGGUCAAGAAACGACUGCACGACCAGGAAAUGCUGAAAACACGGCUGGAAGAGGAGCUCCCUAUCCUGGUGUUGGAGAUGGCCCAGCACUGUACGUGGUUGCAGAACCUGGGAGUGGCCCUCAAGACGGAGCUUGCAAGAUACGAAGAUGAAAAUGGACUUCACUGUCUCUUGGCAAGAAGACUUGCGGAAGUGGAAGAACGACAUCAAAUGGUCCUGCAGCGGUAUAAGACUGCUCUAGGUCCAUUGGCCUCUGUCCUCCUUGAUGUUUGUGAGGAAGAGGAAUGUGAUCCGAUGGGCCUGGUCAGUCCAGACACCAGCGAGGAUGAGGAAGAUGCAAGAGAACAAGCAACUUAGUUGAUGGUGUGGUUUCGUGCCUCGCUUGAUGUACACAAAUGAUCAUUGUUAUUGCUAUGUUUAAAAUAAAAAAAUAAAAAAAUCUAUCUCUUCAAUUCAAGAUGGGGUGGGUGAGAAUAAAUAGUGCUAUAACCUCACUAGCCUUAUUGACAUGGACACAUCUGUUCCGCAUAGAUUUCUAUGCACGAGACUUAAC